rnacentral:rRNA from 1 species
CUACGUAGGGGGCGAGCGUUGUCCGGAAUGAUUGGGCGUAAAGGGCGCGUAGGCGGCCCGGUAAGUCUGGAGUGAAAGUCCUGUUUUUAAGAUGGGAAUUGCUUUGGAUACUGUCGGGCUUGAGUGCAGGAGAGGUAAGUGGAAUUCCCAGUGUAGCGGUGAAAUGCGUAGAGAUUACACAGAACACCGAUUGCGAAAGCAUCUCACGAAGGGUUGAUUGACGCUGAGGCACGAAAGCGUGGGGAUCAAACAGGAUUAGAUACCCUGGUAGUCCACGCAGUAAACGAUGAUGGCUAACCGCUGGGCUUAUCAGUUCAGUGGCCAAGCGAAAGCGAUAAGCCAUCCACCUGGGGAGUACGACCGCAAGGUUGAAACUCAAAUGAAUUGACGGGG